AGACUGAAAGAAGAAAGAAACACGAGAGAAGAUCAACAGAAGACUCUUGAAGAGAAACUGAAACUGCUUGAAGAACAGCAUGAAGAAGAGCUGAAGAGAAGACGAGUGCAGUGGAGAGAGGGAUAUGCGAGAGAGAAAGAAGAGAUGAAGAUCUGCUCUGAAACUGAUCCUUCACUGCAGCAUUCUACGCAUUUUCGGUCCGAGCCUGAUGCAGAGCAGUUCUGCCGGGACGAGGGGUCCCUGCUGCAGUUUCACCAGUAAAGAAAAUUACUCAUUACACUUCACUUGGAGGACCACACAAGACACGCAGUGGUGCAUGGAGAAUCUGGCGAACCAGGAUUAAAUCAUCUGCAAGAGGAUGGGCAAUCAUGUUUCCAUUCAGGAAGGCAAGGC